GCAGAGAGAGAGCUGCUUUUUCAUGAAACGGGAGUAAAGUAGUAAACUUACAGGAACAUAUACCACUACCAACGUUUGGAUCGAUAUCUGCAUCGAUCUGCACACCCUUGUCUCCUGGAUUGUAGCCGAGAUCAGCGUGAACCACGUGGGUCUCUGCUCCCUGAUCUGUUUCCUGUUUGGAAAGACUUCCAGCUUCAUCGCGGAGUUUCUCUCGGUUUGUGGGCUCAUCUAAAGCUAAGUAACAGGAGCAGAAGAAGCACAAAUUCAGCCAUUUGGACUCAGCUCAGCCACUACAGAGGAAACAAUGACUUCAACACAAAAGGACCAACAUGAGGCGAAAAGUCAGCGCUCUCAGGACAAACCUCACAGAAGAAAGGGAGAGAGAACAUACAGCUGUGAUGAGUGUGGGAAGGAUUUUACCCGGGCUGGAGAAUUAAAAAGACACCAACUCUUCCACAGUGGAGUUAAAGCGUACAGCUGUGACUUGUGUGGCAAGUCUUUUACCCUGGCUCAAAGCUUAAAGACGCACCGACUCAUCCACAGUGGAGUUAAACCGUACAGCUGUGACUUGUGUGGAAAGUCUUUUACCCUGGCUCAAAACUUAAAAACACACCAACUCAUCCACAGUGGAGUUAAAGCGUAUAGGUGUGAAUUGUGUGGAAAGUCUUUUACUCUGGCUGGAGGUCUAAAGAAACACAAAGUCAUCCACAGUGAAGUUAAACCUCACAGCUGUGAGUUGUGUGGAAAAUCUUUUACUCAGGUCGGAGGUUUAAAAAUACAUCAACUCAUCCACAGUGGAGUUAAACCUUACAGCUGUGACUUGUGUGGAAAGUCUUUUACCCGGGCUGGAUGCUUAAAAACACACAGACUCAUCCACAGUGGAGUUAGACCGUACAUUUGUGACUUGUGUGGAAAGUCUUUUACUCUGGCUCAAAACCUAAAAACACACCAACUCAUCCACAGUGGAGUAAAAGCACACUACUGUCACUUGUGUGGAAAGUCUUUUAAUCAGGCCCAAAACUUAAAAACACACCAACUCAUCCACAGUGGAGUUAAACCUCACAGAUGUGACUUGUGUGGAAAGUCUUUUACCCUGGCAGACAGCUUAAAAACACACCAACUCAUCCACACUGGAGUUAAAGCAUUCAGCUGCAACUUGUGUGGAAAGUCUUUUACCCAUCGUCAAGGCUUAAAAUCACACCAUAUCAUCCACAGUGGAGUUAAAGCACACAGCUGUGAGUUGUGUGGUAAAGCUUUUGCUCAAAAUAGCGACUUACAGAGGCAUCUAGUUACUCACUCUGGACUUAAGGCCUACAGCUGCGACUUUUGUGGGAAAAGUUUCAGUGAAAAAAAGUACCGAAAUAUUCACCUACGGAUUCACACUGGAAAUGAUGUUUACUGCUGUGAUCAGUGUGGGAAACCAUUUACAACAGAUGCACAGUUACAGACGCAUAUGUUUAGCCACACUGAGGAGAGACCACACAAAUGUGACCUGUGUGAGAAGACUUUUAAAUCUCCACAUCACCUGAAAAAACACCAACAGAUCCACACCAGAAAAUAACUCUACAAGUGCAGUUACUGUGAGGAUGUAUUUAUUUUUAUCUUGUAAUUGUAACCCGAGUGUUCUGAACAAGUCUGAUCAGUAAACUUAUGGAAUUAUAGUGAAUGAACUGUUUGGAAAUGAAAGAGGCAUUUUCGCCCAGUAAGCUGAGUGUUAUAAUGUAAACAGUGAAAUGUAAUUUGAUAUUGGCAGAGAUAACUUAUGCUGUCUUUGCUCAGAAGUAGAGCAACGCAGAUGGAUCCAGUUCUCAGCCCUGUCGUCACUGUGGUGGUGGGAAAGCGUUUCUCUGUGACCUUUGGGAAAACCUCCAAUCAUGAACGGGACCUUAAACCACAUCAACGUAGACACACUGGAGACAAAAUGAACUACGGCAAAGAAUGUGGGAGAGGCUUCCACACACCAAGUACAUUAAAAUACAUGAACUCCUCCACAGUGGGGUCAAAAAGUCCAUCUGUGACCAGUGAGGGUCAUCCUUCACCACAGCACAUGAGUUUAAAGAAAAAGCAAUAAGCGAAUCCACACAGGAGAGACACCAUACAAGUGCAGACACUGUGACAAAAGCUUCUCACAAUCAGGUCAUCGUAACAAACAUGAACGUACACACAUGGAAGUGAACUUCAGCUGUGACCAGUGUGACAAGAGCUUCAGGAAUCUCAGUUCAUACUCCAAACACAAACGAUCCCAGACUGUAAAUAAACUGUUUCACUGUGACUAAUGUGCAAAAACAUUCACUUCAUUAUUUGCUCUGUGCAAACAUCAGCCUGAUCAUGCAGGACUGAAAUCACUGGAUCACAAUGAAUCUGAAGAGAGAGAAAGAUCCUCUUCUGGUUUCAGGGUCAGACUUAAAAACCUUGAGAUCAGGCUCCACAGAGUUCAGAUGGAAUCUCCUGUAAAGCGUGUCAGCUGAUGUCACACUUGGGUUUGAUGAGGUAGCUCUGAUUUCUGGACCUGCAGUGAAUAAUACAACUUUUGGUUUUCUCAAUAGGAAGAUGGCCACGGGACACAUCAAACUUAUUGGUAAUGUCGCAAGAAAAACAAUGGUGUGCUUGGUUUCAACAUAACUUUAUUUUUUCAUGAAUUAUUUACAUGUUUCGCUUUGUUCACAGCCAUUUACAUGUCGAAGAGGUUAACACGUGAGGAGCAGAUCGAAAUCGUGUUGAUAUCUGGUGAACGCAGUGAACAGGUCAUUGCAGCAGAUUUCAAUGCAAGGCACCCUACGAGACCAUCCAUCUCUCAUGCUACAGUCAGCAAACUGCUUGCAAAGUUUCGUGAAACUGGUUCAGUGUUGGAUUUGCUAAAAUGUGGACGCAAGAAAACUGUCACUAAUGAAGAAACAUCAGUGAAUGGCCUAGCUUCAUUCAGCAAGAGUCCACAGCGUAGCACUCGCCGCAUGUCACUGGAGAAUGGCAUUUUGGCACAUUUUCCUGGAAAGUGGAUUGGUCAUUGUGGGCCAGUUGAAUGGCCCCCAAGGUCUCCCGAUCUGACCCCCUUAGACUUUUAUCUUUGGGGUCAUCUGAAGACAAUUGUCUAUGGUGUGAAGAUACGAGAUGUGCAGCACCUGAAACUACGGAUACUGGAUGCCUGUGUUGGCAUUUCUCCUGCGGUGUUGCCAUCAGUGUGUGAAGAGUAGGAGAAGAGGGUUGCAUUGACAAUCCAACAUUUUAUAAGUGGUCGAACUUGUAAAUAACUCAAGGUUACGUUGAUACCAAGCAGAUGUGUCACAUGGCCCUCUUCCUAUUGAAAAACCAAAAGUUGUGUCCAAGAUGGCCGACUUCUAAAUGGCCACCAUGGUCACCCAUCUUGAGGAGUUUGCCCCCUCACAUAUACUAAUGUGCCACAAACAGGACUUUAAUAUCACCAACCAUUCCCAUGUUAUUACGGUGUAUCCAUAUAAAUGGCGCACCCUGUAUAUCAAGUUUUGGUUUUUUUUUUGUUUGUUUGUUUUUUUACCUUUGAGGGGUUUUAAUUCUCUAAAAUGUUAUCACUGUUACGUUUUAAUCUCUGUUCCCUUAGGACACAGUAGUGUUUAGUAGUUGUACUUGUUACUGUAUUAUUCAAGUUAUAGGAAUGGAAUGUCUUCUCUUUUUUACCAAACUGAUGUUGUAUCAAAAUUACAGAUAUGGAUAUGUAUAUUAAUUUCUUUUAUUUGAACUUUCUUAGUCUUUCCAAAAUUAACUAUUUAUCUUCAUUCAUUUAACCUCAGUUAAAUUUCAUCCUUCAUUCAUAUUUAAUUUUUUUGCUGUAAUAAUCCCUUCUCUUAAAUCAUUUUCUCCCAAAACUGCAAAAAAAUUCACAGCAGUCUUUCUCAAAACUUCCAAAAUGAACAAAAUCUGUCAACCUGCUUUGAAACAACCCCUGCUAUGACUUUAUGUUCAGAAACAAGAGACUUAAGCGAAACUGUUUUUUUCCAGUACUUCCAUGUAAUACCAGUUUGUACCAGAAGAUGACCAGUGAGUCAGUGUAACCUUUGUUUAAUUAGGCAAAGAACACAUUCUUAUUCACAGUGGCAGCACAGAAAUGUUGAAAGUUAAAAACAGCAGCACACAUCUGGACCAUUUUAAAGAUCAAAGGUGACUACUUUUAGUUAAUUCAAAUUCUAUUAUACCUCUAUUUUUUGCUCCUCCUUUAACUUUAGUGUAUUUACUGUGUCCUUGAAGUCCGCAUCUUGUUUUGCAGCUGUUUUCUUGUUGAUUUGAAGUUUGUGUUAUGAAAUCCUGAUAAUGUUAAAGCGUUAGUUAUAUUUGAUGAACUCUGUGUAAAGUUUCUCUUAUUAAACAGU